GAUGAACGCUGGCGGCGUGCCUAAUACAUGCAAGUCGAGCGAAUGGAUUAAGAGCUUGCUCUUAUGAAGUUAGCGGCGGACGGGUGAGUAACACGUGGGUAACCUGCCCAUAAGACUGGGAUAACUCCGGGAAACCGGGGCUAAUACCGGAUAACAUUUUGAACCGCAUGGUUCGAAAUUGAAAGGCGGCUUCGGCUGUCACUUAUGGAUGGACCCGCGUCGCAUUAGCUAGUUGGUGAGGUAACGGCUCACCAAGGCAACGAUGCGUAGCCGACCUGAGAGGGUGAUCGGCCACACUGGGACUGAGACACGGCCCAGACUCCUACGGGUGGCAGCAGUAGGGAAUCUUCCGCAAUGGACGAAAGUCUGACGGAGCAACGCCGCGUGAGUGAUGAAGGCUUCCGGGUCGUAAAACACUGUUGUUAGGGAAGAACAAGUGCUAGUUGACUAAGCUGGCACCUUGACGGUACCUAACCAGAAAGCCACGGCUAACUACGUGCCAGCCGCCGCGGUAA
rnacentral:rRNA from 1 species